UUGGAACCUAUUGAUUGUGAAGAUCGCUGGCUGGUGUAGGCUAGCGUCUACCUGUGUAAUAUGUCGUGUAUAACUUACUUUGUAUUGUUUAUGUUGGUAGUUAUCAGUGAACUACCAGAUACCGUCGUAGUGGGACAGAAAUUGUCCUGUUUCUUUCUUUCCCUUGUGCUGAGUUAAAAAAAAAAAAAAAUUGGCUGGGAAGACGGGCUUGGGUAACAUGAAAUUCCAACUCACAUGGCGAUCAACAAUCCAUAAUCAAUGAUCUUACGUGUAUUUUUCAUAUUAUUUUGUAUGUGUUAGGUAGGCAACUAGAUGAACCGAUAUCUGACAAAUUGCCUAAGAUACUUAAGAGAGAGCAUAUUAUCUAGAUACAUAUAUUUGCUUCAAAAAGAAACAUUGAAAUCAAACACCAUUUUUUAAACCCAUCAUAAUCCGGAUCAUCAGUCCAGCAAUUAGUUCCCCCUGACCUGUAUUGAAACAGCUCUCGACAACAAAUUUCCGCCAUUUCGGAAGUCGAUCCUCUAAAAAAAAAAAAGAAAAGAAAAAACCAUAAGAAACAGUUUAACGUACCCAUAAAAGGAGAAAAUAAAAGCAGCAGCAAGCCAAACAUGUCCCCCAUCAGGAAAAACCAACUCAAGUAUAGACAAGACAGAUAUCAUAAUCACAUCCCUUUCUGCAUCCUCAUACCCCCUCCUCGACCCUCCGGGGCGCCG
rnacentral:sRNA from 1 species